CGCUGUGCGAGGUGUAGGGACUUGCUCCUGAAGCUUUGCGCAGUCGCAGAUACCAGCUGGCUGCAACUGUUUAAUAAAAACACAGCACUGUGCAAACACGAAAGUGGACGUAUACGGUGUGACGCCUGCCCGGUGCUGGAAGGUUAAUUGAUGGGGUUAUCCGCAAGGAGAAGCUCUUGAUCGAAGCCCCAGUAAACGGCGGCCGUAACUAUAACGGUCCUAAGGUAGCGAAAUUCCUUGUCGGGUAAGUUCCGACCUGCACGAAUGGCGUAAUGAUGGCCAGGCUGUCUCCACCCGAGACUCAGUGAAAUUGAACUCGCUGUGAAGAUGCAGUGUACCCGCGGCAAGACGGAAAGACCCCGUGAACCUUUACUAUAGCUUGACACUGAACCUUGAGCCUUGAUGUGUAGGAUAGGUGGGAGGCUUUGAAGUGUGGAC
rnacentral:rRNA from 1 species